AACAUAUUUGUGGACAUCAUCAAUCAGAGCAAGUAAUCGCCCCAUUGAUGCUUCCAUUCCUUCAAGAUCAUUGGGAAGUUUGUCCACGGUUGUUGUCUUGAGCAUAUCAACUACAUCAAGGAGCACAAGAAAGUCCUAGUUUAUCCUUCAAACUGUUGAUGUCUGGCAUUAUGUAAGGAUGGAAAACAAUACAAUCUAUCCAAACAUUGUAUUCAUUAAAAAAAUACAGUACAAUACAAUAUAAUACGAAACAUUGUGAAACAAUAGGUAACAACCAUACAAUGUGUAAAAAUUGCACAAAGAUCAUCCAACAGAGAGAGAAAAGAGAGGACUAAUCUAAAUACAGCUCUUUUCGGGUUCCUUUCAGCAAAAUCAAUCUAAAAAGGACUAAACCUGCUCAAAAACAAGGAAAAAAGGACUAAAUUUAAAAGAAUCCACAAUAAUGAGAAGAAAAAAAACCUGAUCUUGAG